UGACGGUGGGGUUUAGGCAUGCAAGUCGCGGGAGAAAGUCUUCGGACGAGUACACCGGCGGAAGGGUGAGUAAUGGCACGUUAACGUACCCACGGGACCCGGAUAAUUCCCGGAGAACGGGUUGUAAAACGGGAUGUUGCUUGGCGUCUGCGGGCGCCAUGUGAAGGCGAUGGGACCCUUCGGGGCCAUCGGCCUGUGGAGCGGACGUGCUCCGAUUAGCUAGUUGGUGGGGUAAAGGCCUACCGAGGCGAUGAUCGGUAGCCGGCUUGAGAGGGUGUCCGGCCACACUGGGACUGAGAUACUGCCCAGACUCCUACGGGAGGCUGCAGUCGCGAAUCUUCCACAAUGGACGCAAGUCUGAUGGAGCCACGCCGUGUGCAGGAGGAAGGCCCUAGGGUUGUAAACUGCUGUCAGGAGGGGGGAACCGCCGGAUUCCAACAGGAUCCGGUCUGACUGCCCUCCAGAGGAAGCUCCGGCUAAACACGUGCCAGCAGCCGCGGUAAUACGUGUGGAGCGAGCGUUGUUCGGAAUUACUGGGCUUAAAGGGUGCGUAGGCGGUGUUGUAAGUCAGUGGUGAAACGCGUCGGCCCAACCGACGUCCUGCCAUUGAUACUGCAUCACUUGAGUGUGCUAGGGGUGAGCGGAACGAGUGGAGUAGCGGUGAAAUGCGUAGAUAUCACUCGGAAGACCGGAGGCGAAGGCGGCUCACUGGGGCACAACUGACGCUGAGGCACGAAAGCGUGGGUAGCGAACAGGAUUAGAUACCCUGGUAGUCCACGCCGUAAACGAUGAGCACUGGAUGACUGCGGAGUGUGCCGUGGUUGUUGUAGAAAAAUUGUUAAGUGCUCCGCCUGGGGAGUAUGGUCGCAAGAUUGAAACUCAAAGGAAUUGACGGGGGCUCACACAAGCGGUGGAGGAUGUGGUUUAAUUCGAAGCAACGCGAAGAACCUUACCAGGUCUUGACAUGCUGGGAUCAACCGUGUGAAAGCACGGGGCUUGCCCAUCUCGGGUGUAACCAGCACAGGUGCUGCAUGGCUGUCGUCAGUUCGUGCCGUGAGGUGUUCGGUUAAGUCCUUUAACGAGCGAAACCCCUAUCGUCAGUUGCCAUCGGUUCGGCCGGGGACUCUGGCGAGACUGCCGCGUCCAAGUAGGAGGAAGGAGGGGACGACGUCAAGUCAUCAUGGCCCUUAUGACCUGGGCUACACACGUCCUACAAUGGUCGGUACAGCGGGUUGCGAAGCCGCGAGGCGGAGCCAAUCCCCAAAGCCGAUCCCAGUUCGGAUUGCAGGCUGCAACCCGCCUGCAUGAAGCCGGAGUUGCUAGUAACCGCGCGUCAGCCAUAGUGCGGUGAAUACGUUCCCGGGUCUUGUACACACCGCCCGUCACGUCAUGGGAGUUGGUAACGCCUGAAGCCGGUAGUCUGACCUAACUGGAGGACGCCGUCGAAGGCGGGACUGGCGACUGGGACGAAGUCGU
rnacentral:rRNA from 1 species